rnacentral:rRNA from 1 species
UAAGUUAAUAAGGGCGCACGGUGGAUGCCUUGGCACUAGGAGCCGACGAAGGACGUGACAAACGACGAUAUGCCUUGGGUAGCUGUAAGUAAGCGAUGAUCCAGGGAUUUCCGAAUGGGGGAACCCAACAGGUAAUACCUGUUACCUACAUCUGUUAAGGAUGUGAGGAGGAAGACGCAGUGAACUGAAACAUCUAAGUAGCUGCAGGAAGAGAAAGCAAAAGCGAUUGCCUUAGUAGCGGCGAGCGAAACGGCAGAAGGGCAAACCGAAGAGUUUACUCUUCGGGGUUGUAGGACUGCAAUGUGGACUCAAAGACUAUAGAAGAAUGAUUUGGGAAGAUCAGCCAAAGAGAGUAAUAGCCUCGUAUUUAAAAUAGUCUUUGUACUUAGCAGUAUCCUGAGUACGGCGGGACACGUGAAAUCCCGUCGGAAUCUGGGAGGACCAUCUCCCAACCCUAAAUACUCCCUAGUGACCGAUAGUGAACCAGUACCGUGAGGGAAAGGUGAAAAGCACCCCGGGAGGGGAGUGAAAUAGAACCUGAAACCGUGUGCCUACAACAAGUUCGAGCCCGUUAAUGGGUGAGAGCGUGCCUUUUGUAGAAUGAACCGGCGAGUUACGUUAUGAUGCGAGGUUAAGUUGAAGAGACGGAGCCGUAGGGAAACCGAGUCUGAAUAGGGCGCCUUAGUAUCAUGACGUAGACCCGAAACCAUGUGACCUACCCAUGAGCAGGUUGAAGGUGCGGUAAGACGCACUGGAGGACCGAACCAGGGCACGUUGAAAAGUGCUUGGAUGACUUGUGGGUAGCGGAGAAAUUCCAAACGAACUUGGAGAUAGCUGGUUCUCUCCGAAAUAGCUUUAGGGCUAGCGUCGACAUUAGAGAUUCUUGGAGGUAGAGCACUGUUUGGGUGAGGGGUCCAUCCCGGAUUACCAAUCUCAGAUAAACUCCGAAUGCCAAUGAAUUAUGGUCGGCAGUCAGACUGCGAGUGCUAAGAUCCGUAGUCGAAAGGGAAACAGCCCAGACCACCAGCUAAGGUCCCAAAAUAAUUGUUAAGUGGAAAAGGAUGUGGGGUUGCACAGACAACUAGGAUGUUAGCUUAGAAGCAGCUAUUCAUUCAAAGAGUGCGUAAUAGCUCACUAGUCGAGUGACCCUGCGCCGAAAAUGUACCGGGGCUAAAACAAUUUACCGAAGCUGUGGAUACCUUUAUAGGUAUGGUAGGAGAGCGUUCUAUGUGUGAUGAAGGUAUACCGUGAGGAGUGCUGGAACGCAUAGAAGUGAGAAUGCCGGUAUGAGUAGCGAAAGACAGGUGAGAAUCCUGUCCACCGUAAGACUAAGGUUUCCAGGGGAAGGCUCGUCCGCCCUGGGUUAGUCGGGACCUAAGGAGAGACCGAAAGGUGUAUCCGAUGGACAACAGGUUGAUAUUCCUGUACUAGAGUAUGUAGUGAUGGAGGGACGCAGUAGGCUAACUAAAGCAGACGAUUGGAAGAGUCUGUCUAAGCAGUGAGGUGUGAAUUGAGUCAAAUGCUUAAUUCUAUAACAUUGAGCUGUGAUGGGGAGCGAAGUUUAGUAGCGAAGUUAGUGACGUCACACUGCCAAGAAAAGCUUCUAGCGUUUAAACAUACUCUACCCGUACCGCAAACCGACACAGGUAGUCGAGGCGAGUAGCCUCAGGUGAGCGAGAGAACUCUCGUUAAGGAACUCGGCAAAAUGACCCCGUAACUUCGGGAGAAGGGGUGCUGACUUUAAGUCAGCCGCAGUGAAUAGGCCCAAGCAACUGUUUAUCAAAAACACAGCUCUCUGCUAAAUCGUAAGAUGAUGUAUAGGGGGUGACGCCUGCCCGGUGCUGGAAGGUUAAGAGGAGUGCUUAGCGUAAGCGAAGGUAUGAAUUGAAGCCCCAGUAAACGGCGGCCGUAACUAUAACGGUCCUAAGGUAGCGAAAUUCCUUGUCGGGUAAGUUCCGACCCGCACGAAAGGCGUAAUGAUUUGGGCACUGUCUAACGAGAGACUCGGUGAAAUUUUAGUACCUGUGAAGAUGCAGGUUACCCGCGACAGGACGGAAAGACCCCAUGGAGCUUUACUGCAGUUUGAUAUUGAGUGUCUGUACCACAUGUACAGGAUAGGUAGGAGUCUAAGAGAUCGGGACGCCAGUUUCGAAGGAGACGCUGUUGGGAUACUACCCUUGUGUUAUGGCCACUCUAACCCAGAUAGGUGAUCCCUAUCGGAGACAGUGUCUGACGGGCAGUUUGACUGGGGCGGUCGCCUCCUAAAAGGUAACGGAGGCGCCCAAAGGUUCCCUCAGAAUGGUUGGAAAUCAUUCGCAGAGUGUAAAGGUAUAAGGGAGCUUGACUGCGAGAGCUACAACUCGAGCAGGGACGAAAGUCGGGCUUAGUGAUCCGGUGGUUCCGUAUGGAAGGGCCAUCGCUCAACGGAUAAAAGCUACCCUGGGGAUAACAGGCUUAUCUCCCCCAAGAGUUCACAUCGACGGGGAGGUUUGGCACCUCGAUGUCGGCUCGUCGCAUCCUGGGGCUGUAGUCGGUCCCAAGGGUUGGGCUGUUCGCCCAUUAAAGCGGCACGCGAGCUGGGUUCAGAACGUCGUGAGACAGUUCGGUCCCUAUCCGUCGCGGGCGUAGGAAAUUUGAGAGGAUCUGCUCCUAGUACGAGAGGACCAGAGUGGACUUACCGCUGGUGUACCAGUUGUCUUGCCAAAGGCAUCGCUGGGUAGCUAUGUAGGGAAGGGAUAAACGCUGAAAGCAUCUAAGUGUGAAACCCACCUCAAGAUGAGAUUUCCCAUGAUUAUAUAUCAGUAAGAGCCCUGAGAGAUGAUCAGGUAGAUAGGUUAGAAGUGGAAGUGUGGCGACACAUGUAGCGGACUAAUACUAAUAGCUCGAGGACUUAUCCA